rnacentral:rRNA from 1 species
GAUGAACGCUGACAGAAUGCUUAACACAUGCAAGUCCACUUGAAUUUGGGUUUUUAACUUAGGUUUGGGUGGCGGACGGGUGAGUAACGCGUAAAGAACUUGCCUCACAGCUAGGGACAACAUUUGUAAACGAAUGCUAAUACCUAAUAUUAUGAUAAUAGGGCAUCCUAUAAUUAUGAAAGCUAUAAGCGCUGUGAGAGAGCUUUGCGUCCCAUUAGCUAGUUGGAGAGGUAACGGCUCACCAAGGCGAUGAUGGGUAGCCGGUCUGAGAGGGUGAUCGGCCACAAGGGGACUGAGACACGGCCCUUACUCCUACGGGAGGCAGCAGUGGGGAAUAUUGGACAAUGGACCGAGAGUCUGAUCCAGCAAUUCUGUGUGCACGAUGAAGUUUUUCGGAAUGUAAAGUGCUUUCAGUUGGGAAGAAACAAAUGACGGUACCAACAGAAGAAGUGACGGCUAAAUACGUG